rnacentral:rRNA from 1 species
AUUAAAAACCAAUGCCCUUCGGGGCUCUCUGGUGAUUCAUAAUAACUUCUCGAAUCGCACGGCCUUGCGCCGGCGAUGGUUCAUUCAAAUUUCUGCCCUAUCAACUUUCGACGGCUGGGUCUUGGCCAGCCAUGGUGACAACGGGUAACGGAGGGUUAGGGCUCGACCCCGGAGAAGGAGCCUGAGAAACGGCUACUACAUCCAGGGAAGGCAGCAGGCGCGCAAAUUACCCAAUCCCGACUCGGGGAGGUAGUGACAAUAAAUACUGAUACAGGGCUCUUUUGGGUCUUGUAAUUGGAAUGAGUACAAUUUAAAUCCCUUAACGAGGAACAAUUGGAGGGCAAGUCUGGUGCCAGCAGCCGCGGUAAUUCCAGCUCCAAUAGCGUAUAUUAAAGUUGUUGCAGUUAAAAAGCUCGUAGUUGAACCUUGGGCCUGGCUGGCCGGUCCGCCUCACCGCGUGCACUGGUCCGGCCGGGCCUUUCCCUCUGGGGAACCGCAUGCCCUUCACUGGGUGUGUC